AAGGACUUAAAAUUCUUAAUUGGCUUAACCAUUGUGAUUGUCAACAACUAUCUUACAUGGAUCAUUACACUGGCGGCCACAGCGAGAUCCCCUGCUCUUGCUCCUUGAGACUCAGCCUCGCUUCCCAUCUUCCUGGCCAGGGAGAGGCUGCAGGGGAGACGCCCCCCUGACAAAUGUUCCAGGCUCCGCCUCUCACUGAGUCGAGGUCUGAAGUGACUGCUGUGUUCCUAGCACCAAAACAGAGUCCUUCUGACACUCCUCUGAGGUACCGGAUUCUACAUCUGAGAGAUGGCCAUUGAUUAGGCUGCCUCUAACUACCUCUUUUGCACAGAAGUCACCCCAAGGCAAGGGUCAAAAGGAGUCCCCACCAUUCCUCUGAAGGGACUAACCGCUGGUCCAGACUGCAGUCCAUUCUAGGGUUCAAGAUGCCCUUCUGGUUGCCUCCUCGAUGCCCCGUCCCUCCUUCUGAUCCAGGGACCCAGGUACAUCAAGAAGUUUCAGAAAAGAGGAUCAACACCUGCCUGGAAAGGACUCCCACUGUUACGCUGACCACACCAGCUGCUGCAAUCAAGGUUGACCAGAUGUCUGCCUGGGUUCACCAUGCCCUUGCCAAGCCUGUUCCAAAGUAGGACCAGAAAUGAACCAUCUCACCUAGACCAGAUCCACCCAGGCUAAGACUCUCUCAGAAUAGGACUCCUUUUGGUUAUACCCUUUCUGCCUCUUGUAAUACUAGUCUCAUGGUUACUCGUAACUCAGAAACUUAUUUCUCUUCCACAGGAACUCGAUUGGUGUGUUCCGCCAUUCUCACGGGCUGUAUGACCUCAGGACAUCUGUGUAACAAUCCAGUUUUAUGUAUGGUUGUACAUGUAUCCCUCCCCAACCCCAGAGUGAAUGCUUAUUCAGGACCAGAGGGGACUCUCCUCUUAUUCCCCUUUGGGCUGUCCCACUGGUGGCACAAGAGAGCUGCCCCUCUCCUUGUUCGGGUGAUGGUAGAAAUGUGGGUAGCGGGCCCUGCUGCCUUGAGAACUGCGGUUCUAACUGGGAGAAAAGGGCCUAUAGCAGUUAUCAGUCAGAUGCAGACCUCAGACGCCUUCUUCCUCAGUGUGACUCAUGUCUAGGUAGAGUCUCCGGCUCAAGUCUCCCCAAACCAGCAGGCUUAGACUUGCUUUUCAUGUCCCAGAGAGGACUUUCUAUGACACUGGGAGAGGCCUGUCCUUCCUAUGCUAGCGAACCAGGAGUUCUCAAAGAGACUUUACAAAAAGUUAAAAAUAAUUUAGAGAAAAGACAAUAGGAGUGAAGCGGGGCGGUGGUGGCGCACG